GAAAAUCAUAAUAGGAAAGCAUCUUGGAUUGAACUUGAAAUAUUAAUGGUUCAUGUAAUCACACAAACAAAUGGAGUUAGUAUAGAAUCAAGUAAAUGAAAAUAAUGCAUCAAAUGGAAACACGUUCAAUGGAGUUUAUCGAUUCACAUGGAGAUGGAUCAACAUGGACAAUUAAUCAAAGAUUAAUCAGAUGAUCAUGGAAAGUGAAAUGACAUACACAAGACACACA
rnacentral:lncRNA from 1 species